rnacentral:rRNA from 1 species
UACGGAGGAUGCGAGCGUUAUCCGGAUUUAUUGGGUUUAAAGGGUGCGUAGGCGGUCCGUUAAGUCAGCGGUAAAAUUGCGGGGCUCAACCCCGUCGAGCCGUUGAAACUGGCAGACUUGAGUUGGCGAGAAGUAUGCGGAAUGCGUGGUGUAGCGGUGAAAUGCAUAGAUAUCACGCAGAACCCCGAUUGCGGAGGCAGCAUGCCGGCUUCCUACUGACGCUGAAGCACGAAAGCGUGGGGAUCGAACAGG